rnacentral:tRNA from 1 species
CCGAGAGCUUAGCCUGGUUAGAGCGCUGCGCUCAUAACGCAGAGGUCACGGGUUCAUAUCCCGUCUCCGG